AGUUUGAUCCUGGCUCAGAUUGAACGCUAGCGGGAUGCCUUACACAUGCAAGUCGAACGGCAGCACGGACUUCGGUCUGGUGGCGAGUGGCGAACGGGUGAGUAAUGUAUCGGAACGUGCCCAGUAGCGGGGGAUAACUACGCGAAAGCGUAGCUAAUACCGCAUACGCCCUUAGGGGGAAAGCAGGGGAUCGCAAGACCUUGCACUAUUGGAGCGGCCGAUAUCGGAUUAGCUAGUUGGUGAGGUAAUGGCUCACCAAGGCCGCGAUCCGUAGCUGGUUUGAGAGGACGACCAGCCACACUGGGACUGAGACACGGCCCAGACUCCUACGGGAGGCAGCAGUGGGGAAUUUUGGACAAUGGGGGAAACCCUGAUCCAGCCAUCCCGCGUGUGCGAUGAAGGCCUUCGGGUUGUAAAGCACUUUUGGCAGGAAAGAAACGGCGCGUGCUAAUACCAUGCGCAACUGACGGUACCUGCAGAAUAAGCACCGGCUAACUACGUG
rnacentral:rRNA from 1 species